rnacentral:rRNA from 1 species
AUGGAGCCGACGGCCGUCAGCGUGGGCAAGGCCGCUCUGGGUGGCGCGCUGGGCUACGCCACGUCCAAGGCGGCAGAGGAAAUUGCCCUGCAGCUAGGCGUCGAGCGUGAUGUCAAGUUCAUCAGGGAUGAGCUGCAGAUGAUGCAGUCCUUCUUGAUGACGGCUGAUGAGGAGCAGAGCCAGAACAAGGUGCUCACCACCUGGGUGCAGCAGAUCGGGGUCCUGGCCUACAAAGUGGAGGACAGCCUCAUGGAUUUUGGCCUCCACUCCGAGAAAAAGCCAUUUUUGGGGUGCAUCCCUCGCAGGCCAGGUGAUCGGCGUCGCAUCGCCAAGGAGGUGAAGCAGCUUAGGGCCGAGGUGGAGGACGUGAGCAACAGGAACCUGCGCUAUCGCCUUAUCAAGGAGAGCUCAGGCUCCAAGCCUACCACGGCUGAGGAGCAGGUCAGCAUCGCCAAUGCGGCAAUGUUUGCCACUGUCGAAAAGGACUCAACAUCAAAGGUGAACCUCCACCAGCUGGUUACCAGCAAUGAUGUGAACCUUAGGGUGAUCUCCAUGUGGGGAACUAGCGGUGAUCUUGGAAAGACUUCUGCCAUCCACGAAGUUUAUGAUGACCCAAUGAUACUGAAAAGGUUUGGAUUCCGUGCUUGGAUUAGGUUGAUGCAUCCUUUCAAUCCGCAAGAGUUCCUCAGGGGCUUGUUAUGGCAAUUUUAUGAAAAUUACCAUGAUGAGGUUGGAAAAUCCGAACAAGGAACGAGUGUCGUGCCUAAUGUUCUGGCCAACAUGGAGAGGAUGGAUCAAAGAGAUUUAGUCCGUAUGUUUAGUGAGCAGUUGUGCAGCAAUGGCUACCUGGUUGUCAUAAAUGACCUGACCACGAUAGAAGAGUGGCAUUGCAUUAAGAAGUACUUUCCUGACAACAAGAAACAAAGUAGAAUCAUCGUUUCUACUCAGCAAGCUGAAAUUGCAAGCUUGUGCACAGAGAAACCGUAUCAAGUUUCAGAGUUAAAGCAGCUGUCAUGUGAUCAAACUAUUUAUUUGUUCCACAAGAAGUUGCAGAAAUCCGAGGAGCAGGUCAGCGUGGCCAGUGUUAGUUUGGAAAUGUUUAACACUGACGAAGCAAGGUUUCCUGAUGUGGAGAAUGAGAAACUGAAGGGUAUGCGUACAUCAUGGUCUGCUGAGCUUAUUUCCGACUCAAACAAAGUUUCUACUGCCGAGGAAAACACAACAAUGGCCACUGAUGAAAUACAGGACGAACCCCAAGAAUCCAACAAUGCAGGUGAAGACAAAGUUGGCAAUUCAACUGCUAGAAAGAAGUUUGGAUGCAGCAGGACACUGGGGCUGGCUGAUGAAGUGGUCUGUGGGCGCGAAACAGAGAAAUCUAUUCUUAUCAGAUUAGUUGGCCAACCAGACAACAGUCAAGGUUCUAAGGUGAUCUCAGUUUGGGGAAUGGGGGGUCUGGGAAAAACCACUGUUGUCCGAAGCAUCUACCGAAGUCAGCAGCUUGGUGGCUGGAAGCGUGCAUGGGCCACUGCAUUGCGUCCUUUUAACCCUGAAGUACUCCUUAGAGAUUUGGCUUUGCAGCUUCAGAAUACUAUUCAAGAAGAUCCUGUCGGAUCAACAGCAACUGGAGUGCAAAAGAAAAACAUAUCAGUGAUGAAACUUCAAGACUUGAAGGAUGAGCUAGCUCGAAUACUAAAAGUACAAAAGUGCCUUCUUGUUCUUGAUGAUAUAUUGUCCACUUCUGAAUGGGAUUUGGUCAAAUCGUGUUUGCAUAAUGCUGGAAGGAUCAUAGUCACCACAAGACAAAAAGAUGUUGCCAAACAUUGUUCAAGAGAAGACAAGAACAUGUACUGUCUUGAAGGCCUGAAAGAUGAUGCUGCACUUGACCUCUUCAUGAAGAAGGUAUUCAAGGAAAAUAUUAAAAAAAAUGAUUUAGUCCCAGCUAUGAUGGAGCAAGCAAGACUGAUCCUACAUAAAUCUGAUGGACUUCCCCUUGCAAUAUCGACUAUCGGUGGAUUCCUAGCGAGCAAGCCAAAAACUGCUAUUGAAUGGAGGAACAUGAAUGAUCGAAUUGGCACUGAAUUGGAGAUAAAUCCUGAACUUAGGACAAUAAAGACAAUUCUUAUGAGGAGCUACGAUGGUUUGCCAUACCAUCUCAAGUCUGCUUUCUUAUACCUGUCCAUAUUUCCAGAAGACCACAUAAUUAGGUGGGGUCGCUUGGUGCGGCGGUGGAUUGCAGAGGGUUACUCAAGGGAUAUGCAUGGCAUGAAGGCAAUUGAACUUUGUCAGAGAUACUUUGAUGAGCUCUUGGAUAGGAGUAUGAUUCUGCCAGGGGAAGGGAUAGAUCAAUACAAACAGAAAAUCAGUUCUUGCCAACUUCAUGAUAUGAUCCGUGAAAUAUGCAUCUCAAAGGCUAGGGAGGAAAACCUUGUUUUCACACUGGAGGAAGGAUGUUGUUUGAGCAACACACAAGGUGCAAUACGCCAUCUUGUUAUAAGCACCAACUGGAAAAGGGACAAACAUGUGCUGGAGAGCAUGCUAGACUUGUCACACGUACGGUCAUUGACCGUGUUUGGAGAGUGGAGAUCGUUUUUCAUCUCCGACGAUAUGAGGUUUGUGCGAGUUCUUGACUUAGAAGACACACUAGGAUUAAGAGAUCAUCAUCUUGAUCAAGUCGGGCAGCUCCAUCACCUCAAGUACCUUUCUCUUCGAGGAUGUCGCGGCAUUUUAUAUCUACCUAAUUCUUUCCGGAAUUUGAGGCACCUGCAAACACUGGAUGUUAGAGGUACACGUAUAUCUGAGUUGCCAACAAUAAUCACCAAUCUUCGGAGGCUACAUCACCUUCAUGCAGAUGGUUAUGUUGGCCGUGGGGGUGUUAUGGGAGAGGAUGACAUAGUUCAUAAGCAUAGACAUUUCGUUGAUCGUGUUAACACAUGUCAAACAUGCGUUUUGUUGUCCAGAGGUCAUCUUUUUUUGAGACCACAAGUUUUAGAAGCUGGUUUGAACAGGCAUGAUAUAUUCAAUCUAGAUCGCUUCCGGGAGAGGCUUCUACAUGGUGUUAUACUUCCUAGAGGGAUUGGCAAAUUGAAGGCCCUUCACUCACUAGGUGUUGUUAAUGGUUCCGGGAGAAACGGAAAUGUCACUGUAAAAGAGUUUGGAGAGCUUACUCAGCUACGUAAGCUUAAAGUGGGUGGUCUGAGCUACAGAAACAUCAAUGAGUUAUGGUCUGCCAUUGCUGGUCAUAAUCAACUUCAAUCUUUAUCAGUUGGAAUGGUGUACAGGCACUCGCCGUUAGAUGACUGUUUGGGUGAGGGUUUGUUGCCACCAAGCAGCCUCGAGAGCCUCACUCUGGGUGGUACUCUAGUCAAUGUAACAGAAUGGAUCCAUACGCUUCAGAAUCUCACCAAGUUGGUGCUCAUGGGUAGCAGAUUGGAGCAAGAUAAUGAUGCCAUACAAGCACUCGGGGUGCUACCAAAUAUAGCGGUACUGCGCCUGCAGUUUGACUCGUUCAGUGGGACACAACUCCAUUUCCAGAGGUCAUCUUUCCCUAGCCUCAUGGUGCUGGAGCUCCGUAACUUACACAAGCUCCAGUCGGUGCUGUUUGAAGAAGACACAACGCCCAAGCUUGAGCUGCUACAAAUUGGUGUGUGCGACGAGCUGAGGGACAUCUCUGGGCUGCCAGCCCUCAAAAGCCUCAAAGAAAUUCAGUUGCCUAAAGCUGGUAGUGGGUAUUACAAUAAUAAAAAAUAUGAGGUGAAGAGGGAAGAGGUGGAGAGGCAGGUAGCGGAGCACGUGAGAGUGAACAUUAUUGACUGA